UUUCGGUUCAAAAUUUAAAAC
ensembl:piRNA 21ur-9561 ncRNA